GAUGAACGCUGGCGGCGUGCCUAAUACAUGCAAGUCGAGCGAACAGACGAGGAGCUUGCUCCUCUGACGUUAGCGGCGGACGGGUGAGUAACACGUGGAUAACCUACCUAUAAGACUGGGAUAACUUCGGGAAACCGGAGCUAAUACCGGAUAAUAUAUUGAACCGCAUGGUUCAAUAGUGAAAGACGGUUUUGCUGUCACUUAUAGAUGGAUCCGCGCCGCAUUAGCUAGUUGGUAAGGUAACGGCUUACCAAGGCAACGAUGCGUAGCCGACCUGAGAGGGUGGUCGGCCACACUGGAACUGAGACACGGUCCAGACGCCUACGGGAGGCAGCAGUAGGGAAUCUUCCGGAAAGGGCGAAAGCCGGACGGAGCAACGCCGCGUGAGUGAUGAAGGUCUUCGGAUCGUAAAACUCUGUUAUUGGGGAAGAACAAAUGUGUAAGUAACUAUGCACGUCUUGACGGUACCUAAUCAGAAAGCCACGGCUAACUACGUG
rnacentral:rRNA from 1 species